rnacentral:rRNA from 1 species
AUGCUUCCCCUCGCGCACCCCACCCGCCAUCCCCACCCCCGCCCUGCAUCUCGGGCCUCACCUCCGGAGCGCUCUCCUGCCCGAGCCCGAGCUGGACCUCGCCUACCCCGCCGCUCGUCUAAUGCGCUCACCCUCACACGAGCGCGGCCUCCGACCGCGGAACCGGGCGAGAAUACUGAAACCACCUCCGCCCCCGCCAGCAGCAGCGUCCUGUCGUUUUUGUGCCCGCUUCUCAAGUUCUUCGGGGGCGGGGAUCCUUCUCAAGAGCGGAAUGACAUCGUGGAGGUGGCCACAUCUUCCCUUUCAAGUUUAGCUAGACUGCCGUGGGGAUCAAAUGUUGCAGCUAGUAGCACAGAAAGCGUUAGUACACCAACGAGUGCUCCGACUCUUCAACUGUAUGAGUUUGAAGCAUGUCCCUUCUGUAGGAGAGUCAGGGAGGCCAUGACUGAGCUUGAUCUUUCUGCGGAGGUUUAUCCUUGCCCAAAAGGGUCACUGAGGCAUAGAGAUGUGGUCAGGAAAAUUGGAGGGAAGGAGCAGUUUCCACUUCUUGUUGAUGCAAGUACUGGCGUCACAAUGUAUGAAAGUGGAGAUAUUGUGAAGUACCUGUUCAAACAGUAUGGACAAGGAAAGAGCCCUUCUUUUGGCCUCCUUGAGAGUACAAUUUUCACAGGAUGGGUGCCUACUCUUCUUCGAGCUGGAAGAGGGAUGACAAUGUGGAGCAAAGCUGGUGCGGUACCUGCAGAGAAGCUGGAACUCUUCUCAUUUGAGAAUAACACCUACGCAAGGAUCGUGCGUGAGGCUCUGUGUGAAUUGGAGCUCCCUUACGUUCUCCGGAACGUGGGACAGGGGUCGUCGAAGAUGAGUUCGCUGCUAAGCGUAGCAAAUUCUAAGCAGGUACCGUAUCUGAUGGAUCCAAACACCGGGUUCCGAUCGGGCGAUCACAAGACGAUACUGUCCUACUUGUUUCAGCAGUACUCUGUGGGCGGCUAG